UUUUGGAGGAAAGAGAAAGCAUAGCUUUAUUUCUUUGCCAGGCAGAGGGCAUGCAGCAGGCUAAUGCCUCAGAUAGUUUCCCCUUCCCUGGGGAAAAGGGAGAGGUCUUAUAGUCUAGGCUUUGCUCACGGGUAUGUGAUACGGUUCAAGGCAGUGACAAUCUUGCAUUCUCUUUUCUGCAAAGUUUUAAAAUGGCCAUAACAUUUGAGUCUGGUCGUCAAAGAGGUUAUUGGCUGGUAACCUUUUUGAAAUAAAGAAUGCCAAGGGAGUUACAAGGGUGUGUAGGGGAAAAGAAUGCCAGGUGCAGGAUAGAAUUCACAGAUAGUCAGAGAGUGAUUAAGGAAUUAAAUUUGUGAAGGAAGUCUAGUUGUGUGCACUAGAAACGGCUAGAGUAAAACUAGAAUCGCUGGACUAUUCCAGGCCUAUUCUUGGGGGUUUUAUAGCCGUUUACUCAUUCCUUCACUUCCCUUGGUUGUUAGCAGUAAAAAAAACCCCACUUUUCCAUUUCUGUUUAACAAAUUCCCCAGUGCUAGUUCAUUUCUUCCAUUUUGGUGGAUGAAGGGAAUCAGGCAUUGUUCUCAUCUGGCUGAGGAUAAAAUUUCAGUGUCAUUCCACUUGACGAACAUCAGCUGUUUGGCCCAGGAGCCCAUGUAUCUCCUACUUCAAAAGUAGUCAUGCUCAUCUCAAAAAUCUUUAAAAUACAAAGCAACAGCCCAACCUCAUUCAUUCACUAACUGCUUAUUGAGGGCACUAACUUUGCGCUGACGUUAUCUGCUCUAUGUCUGACACCCUGUUCUUCACUGAGGAUAUAUACAAUGAGAAACAAGACAGGGUUUCUGCCUUCAAGGAACAGGGGCAGGCAGAAAAAAAUCAAGUAAAUAAGAUCUCACAGGUGGUAAGAGGUACGGAGGCAGAAAACAGUGGUUCCAUGAACAGUGACAGGAGACUUCUUUGGAUGAACCAGUUAGGCAGGGAGCAAAGAUCCGAAGGGCAACCAAGCGAAGAUUAAGGAUAAGUACAGCUGAGCAAGAGCAAUGGCCUCUCCAUUGGGCAACCACUUCCCAGGGAUUGCUGCAGUUUGGGUUUUUAUGCUAACAGACCAUUUUCUAGCACACAAACAUUCAUGCGAUUUUAUUCCUUUCUUCCCUCUACUUCUUUUGUUUUUGUUUUUCAAACAAAACAUCCCUCUGUAUUCCAAGGCUGCUCUGUUGAUUUUAUUCAGAACUGCCUCACCCUCAUUGGUCUCAGGCCUGGGAGGAAAUACAAAGUUCAGAGUCACAGACCUUGGCCGGCAAGGGAGAGCUUGGCUCAGGUAAGUUUUUCAGCAGAGAAGGGAGCCUUGAGAUCUGUCUCUCAUCUACUGAAUUAGUGUUUAACCUGAUGGUCUCUAAAGACUUCUUUGAUAUUCUGGCCACUGUGUCUGUCAUUACAAAAACUCCAUGUGGUGGGGAUGGCCAUUUGUCCCUAUAUCCAUCUCUCCAUCUUCCUUAGUAAUUGAAUCUCCAAGUUUUAGCUGAGCACAGGGCUGCCCCACCAGACUCUUUUCCAGCCUUUCUUAUACAACUAGGUGUAGCCAUGGGACUAAGUUCAGACAAGGGCCAAUGACGUGUGAAACGUUCGGGUUGUGCCCUUGUGAAGGUGUCAUGCCCUCUACUUGCUCAUCUCCUCUUUCUGCUGACUGAAAGAGGGCUUGAUGGUUGGAAAUGGAUCCACCAACUGUGAUCAUGAGAUGGAAGCCAAGAUGUG
rnacentral:lncRNA from 1 species